GACGAACGCUGGCGGCGUGCUUAACACAUGCAAGUCGAACGGAAAGGCCCCUUUGGGGGUACUCGAGUGGCGAACGGGUGCGUAACACGUGAGUAACCUGCCCUUGACUUCGGGAUAACUUCAGGAAACUGGGGCUAAUACCGGAUAGGAAUCCUUGCUGCAUGGUGGGGGUUGGAAAGCUUCGGCGGGUUUGGAUGGACUCGCGGCUUAUCAGCUUGUUGGUGGGGUAGUGUCUUACCAAGGCUUUUACGGGUAGCCGGCCUGAGAGGGCGACCGGCCACAUUGGGACUGAGAUACGGCCCAGACUCCUAAGGGAGGCAGCAGUGGGGAAGAUUGCACAAUGGGCGGAAGCCUGAUGCAGCAACGCCGCGUGCGGGAUGACGGCCUUCGGGUUGUAAAACGCUUUCAGCAGGGGCGAAGCUUGUGGUGACGGUACCUGCAGAAGAAGCACCGGCUAACUACGUG
rnacentral:rRNA from 1 species